UCGCCCAAUCCCCCCGCCCGCACCACUCCCUCCCUGCCCCACGCCCAAUCCCCUCGCCUGCACCGCUCCCUCCCUCCUUGAUCUCUCUCCCUCGCCAGCCGCCUUUGGUGGGAAACCCUAGCCCACCGCCACUCGCGUCCGUCUCCUCCGGCCAGCCUCCGCCCGCAACCUCCCCCCUCCCGUUUUCAGAAGGGAAGGGAGGGAAGGGAAGAGAAGAGGGGUAGCGAGCGGGUCAGGUGGCCAUGGCGCUUGCAGAUCCACCGGCCCCGUCGUCGCCGCUGCGCUCGCAGGGCGCCAGGAGCAUGGCCUCGAUCUGGAGCAGGAGAGGCCAGGAGUGACAUGGUCACAUGGGAGAAGCUCGGCUGCUUGCUGGUGGUGACGGAUGCGCUCAGACCUGUGGCCCGGUCUCGCCGCCGUGCGCCGUCCACCUCCCCGCAGGCAUGCCGGCCACCUCCCCAUCUGACGCACAUCUUCCCCAUGGGGCCAUGGUACACGGUGAGCAGCAGUGUGAGUUCCACACAUUUUGAAGCUACACCCGCUGGAAACCAGUGAAGAAUGAACAAAGGUGGAUCCACCAGCAGCUUCGAGUAGGAUGAGGAGAUCUGGACGGAGUUCGUGUUUCAGCAACCAUGGUAGCGUGUCCUCCGACCUCGACCUAUAGGCAAAGACGUCUUCUUAAUGUUGCAGAAGUUUGGAGGCAUCAAGGAAUGCAUCCUCCUAUUGCUAUGCAAACUGAGGAAAUCAAAGUGAUGGGAAAUCAUUGUACAACAGCUGUUGACUUCAGGAUAUUUCAUGGAUGAGUUAUACUCCUUGACUCCCAUGAGUGUAUCAUCCGCUUGCUAUGCAAACUGAGGAAAUCAAAGUGGCAAAGCAAUUGACUGCAUGUGUUGACUUCAGGAUAUCUCAAGGAUGAGUUAGAAUCUAUGACGCUCAGGGAUGCAUCCUCUGCUUGCUACACAAACUGAGGAAACCAAAGCAGCAAAGCAUUGUACUGCAGAUGUCGACUUCGGAAUAUCUCAUGAACCAGUUAUACUCCUUGAUGCUCAUGUAAAAUUAACUUAUUUUGCUCUCUGCAAUUGCAUAUUAGAACGGUUGAGCUAAACAUCUCGCUGCUGAUAUUUUCAAAUGUAUUGCAACCACUGUACAACCCAUCCAUCUUAAUUGAUAUGUUGAGACUGGAUCGUAGUAGUUGUUCUGCCUCAUCUAUCACUAUCUGCGGGCUUGCUUUGAUUAUGUGUCUCCCAACUUUCUGUAACUAAAAAGCAGCCUGUAAAUGUAGCUUGAAUAAAAAUGGUACCUUUCAGUUUUGUGCAAGUUCAAAGUAUUAGUAGUUUCAGUUUGUCCAAUUUUUGCAGGGAUAUUGUGUGAGGUCUGGUACAAACUUUUAAGACAAUCACUUAAUACAUUCAUGGGAUCACCAACUUUUGGCGUUUGUUGAUACUAGCUAGGUGGGGCCAUGAAUUCCUAGAGGAUUGUGGCAAUUAUCCUGCUUCGCUUGCAAGAUUGGUUUCUAAAAAUAUCAUGGUAGUUGUAAUUUCAGAUUGCUGCUGAUUUGACUAAAAUAUGUUUUGAUUGUUUUUAAGCUUUGACUCUUUACUGUGUGCACAACUAAUUCAUUCCUAAUUAAAUCUUUCAAUGGUUGAUGGGAACACUACAGAUCUUGCUUCUCUGCUUUUUAAUGUUUCAUAUGUUUUCAUGUACAAACCGAGGCAGUUUGUUCUUGUGGCUUCCAAAAGAAACCUGGAAUGUUUGUUCUACAACUCUCUUUGGCUAGGACAUUUUGGCUUCAAAUAACAUAAAUGAACCUAAAACUUCUUAAUACUUUAUAUCACUUUUUGUAUUGAUGUUCUUCAUGCAUGCUCAUCUGCCAAGAGUUUAAUCACAUAAUGUCAUACGUUCCUCAGCAGGCACCAAGCCGUCCGCUGUUGUCUCUCCCUGAAGAAGGGUUAUGGUUCUCCACCUUUUUUCUAAUCAUAUUAAAAUUCCGGUAUGUUCUUUCUUUCUUUAUUUUCUUUCAAGAAAAAGGUGCAACCUGUUCUUAAUUUCCUAUGAUGAUUCCAAUGGCAAUUUGUCAGUGUAUUUCUAGCUGGAAUUGUAUGUAUAUCUUACAAAUUUGCAUUGCAACAAAUUAAUAACGAGAAUAGAAGCGUUUGCACCCAUCUAACAUAUUUGUAUGGUAUUUUUCAAAAGCACAAGCUUAAAGAUGUGGCGCUGUAUGAGGCUAUCAUUAGGAUGGAAGAUAAAUUUGAUGUUAAAAUAUUGCUUGAAUUUCCUUUGUUCUGUAAACGGCAAUACAAGAUAUGUUGUGCCAUGGUUUUUUUCCGAAAAAAAAAUAACAACUAGCAAUUAACAACACAUCAAAUGUUCUGUGGAUUAUUUUGUCAGGUUGGAUUUAGUAGGUCAUAAUGGUUUUAUUCUACGACAGGAUUAAUUUUGUUUGUACUUUAACCAGUUCAAGGUUUGGUGGUCGAGCACUAUGAUCUUUGCACACUAAGGUUCGGUUGUGUUCUUUGAGAAAUAUAUGUCCUACAAGUCUCAUGUGUCUUGUUUUGUUUUCUCUUAUCAAGCUACAAGCUUUUGAUAUACUUCAAACGUGAUUCUUUAUAUGUUGUUUGUUCCAUCAAUCUUAAAUGUAAAUUAGCAAUUAGGCAUCGACAUAGUAUAGUGGAACCAUUGUGCUUGAUGCAGUUUUAUUUUAGUGUUGAAAUGUUUUUCUAAGUUUGUUUGGUGUUGAGAAAUAUAUUCGUUUUCCAACAAAUGUUUCUAAAUCCUAUCAACACAUUUCCUGAUAUGGCCUUUGAAGUUUCUGUUUUAUAACGAUCUUUGUUGCAGUGGUCAACUUGAGUAUGGUAUAGCUUAUUCUUUUCUGUUGCAGCUAUUCCGGAGAAGUUUAGAGCUUCUGCAACCUUUUGAAGACACGAUUUGUAGUUGCAGAGAUGAAACAAUCAAUCAGUCGCGAUGCAUUACAUAAUCUUUUUGCUUUGGACAUUGAUGGGUAUUAUUUUGCCACAAAGGACAGGAGCUGUGCCAUUUGACUCGAAGGAUAAAGCGGUCAUCACAAGGGGGUGGUCUUUAGGAUGUACACAAAAGAGGAAAUUUCCUUUUGUAUAGAACCAAAUUAUAUGAUUUAAUUGAUCGUUCUCUUGUACACAAUGUUUAUCAUGUAUUAAGUACAUUUUAUUGUCAAAUAUGUUUACUUUUUUUA